rnacentral:rRNA from 1 species
CCUACGGGGGGCAGCAGUGGGGAAUAUUGCGCAAUGGGCGAAAGCCUGACGCAGCGACGCCGCGUGAGCGAUGAAGGUCUUCGGAUCGUAAACCUCUGUCAGCAGGGAAGAACGGUCACUGUGCUAAUCAGCAGUGAAUUGACGGUACCUGCAAAGGAAGCACCGGCUAACUCCGUGCCAGCAGCCGCGGUAAUACGGAGGGUGCGAGCGUUAAUCGGAAUUACUGGGCGUAAAGCGCUCGUAGGCGGUAUGUCAAGUCAAGGGUGAAAGCCCCGCGCUCAACGUGGGAACUGCCUUUGAAACUGGCAAACUGGAGUGUGUGAGAGGAUAGUGGAAUUCCAGGUGUAGGAGUGAAAUCCGUAGAUAUCUGGAGGAACAUCAGUGGCGAAGGCGACUAUCUGGCACAUAACUGACGCUGAGGAGCGAAAGCGUGGGUAGCAAACAGGAUUAGAUACCCGGGUAGUC